GACGAACGCUGGCGGCGUGCUUAACACAUGCAAGUCGAACGAAGAGCGAUGGAAGCUUGCUUCUAUCAAUCUUAGUGGCGAACGGGUGAGUAACGCGUAAUCAACCUGCCCUUCAGAGGGGGACAACAGUUGGAAACGACUGCUAAUACCGCAUACGAUCUAACCUCGGCAUCGAGGGUAGAUGAAAGGUGGCCUCUACAUGUAAGCUAUCACUGAAGGAGGGGAUUGCGUCUGAUUAGCUAGUUGGAGGGGUAACGGCCCACCAAGGCGAUGAUCAGUAGCCGGUCUGAGAGGAUGAACGGCCACAUUGGGACUGAGACACGGCCCAGACUCCUACGGGAGGCAGCAGUGGGGAAUCUUCCGCAAUGGACGAAAGUCUGACGGAGCAACGCCGCGUGAGUGAUGACGGCCUUCGGGUUGUAAAGCUCUGUUAAUCGGGACGAAAGGCCUUCUUGCGAAUAGUUAGAAGGAUUGACGGUACCGGAAUAGAAAGCCACGGCUAACUACGUG
rnacentral:rRNA from 1 species